GCCGGCGACCGGCGCAAGGGUGCGUAACGCGUGAGCAACAUGCCCGUAUCAGGGGGAUAAUCCAUGGAAACGUGGUCUAAUACCCCAUAGUAAGUUAUGUAAGGCAUCUUAUAUAAUUUAAAGCUUUGGUGGAUACGGAUUGGCUCGCGUGACAUUAGCUAGAUGGUAAGGUAACGGCUUACCAUGGCUGCGAUGUCUAGGGGUUCUGAGAGGAAGGUCCCCACACUGGAACUGAGACACGGUCCAGACUCCUACGGGAGGCAGCAGUGGGGAAUAUUGGACAAUGGAUGGAAAUCUGAUCCAGCCAUGCCGCGUGCAAGGAAGACGGCCUAUGGGUUGUAAACUGCUUUUGUAUGGGAGCAAUAAGGGCUACGCGUAGUCCGAUGAGAGUACCAUACGAAUAAGCACCGGCUAACUCCGUGCCAGCAGCCGC
rnacentral:rRNA from 1 species